UACGUAGGGGGCAAGCGUUGUCCGGAAUUAUUGGGCGUAAAGCGCGCGCAGGCGGUUCUUUAAGUCUGAUGUGAAAGCCCACGGCUCAACCGUGGAGGGUCAUUGGAAACUGGGGGACUUGAGUACAGAAGAGAAGAGUGGAAUUCCACGUGUAGCGGUGAAAUGCGUAGAGAUGUGGAGGAACACCAGUGGCGAAGGCGACUCUUUGGUCUGUAACUGACGCUGAGGCGCGAAAGCGUGGGGAGCAAACAGG
rnacentral:rRNA from 1 species